GACGAACGCUGGCGGCGUGCUUAACACAUGCAAGUCGAGCGGUAAGGCCCUUUCGGGGGUACACGAGCGGCGAACGGGUGAGUAACACGUGGGUGACCUGCCCUCAGCUCUGGGAUAAGCCUGGGAAACUGGGUCUAAUACCGGAUAUGACUCCAUGACGCAUGUUGUGGGGUGGAAAGCCUUGUGCGGCUGAGGAUGGGCCCGCGGCCUAUCAGCUUGUUGGUGGGGUGAUGGCCUACCAAGGCGACGACGGGUAGCCGGCCUGAGGGGCGACCGGCCACACUGGGACUGAGACACGGCCCAGACUCCUACGGGAGGCAGCAGUGGGGAAUCUUGCGCAAUGGGCGAAAGCCUGACGCAGCGACGCCGCGUGAGGGAUGACGGCCUGGUGUAA
rnacentral:rRNA from 1 species